AGUGAACGCUGGCGGUAUGCCUAACACAUGCCAGUCGAACGGCAGCACAGUAAGAUCUUGCUCUUACGGGUGGCGAGUGGCGGACGGGUGACGAAUACAUCGGAAUCUACUUUUUCGGGGGGGAUAACGUAGGGAAACUUACGCUAAUACCGCAUACGACCUACGGGUGAAAGCAGUGGAUCUUCGGACCUUGCGCGAUUGAAUGAGCCGAUGUCGGAUUAGCUAGUUGGCAGGGUAAAGUCCCACCAAGGCGACGAUCCGUAGCUGGUCGGAGAGGAUGAUCGGCCACACUGGAACUGAGACACGGUCCAGACUCCUACGGGAGGCAGCAGUGGGGAAUAUUGGGCAAUGGGCGCAAGCCUGAUCCAGCCAUACCGCGUGGGUGAAGAAGGCCUUCGGGUUGUAAAGCCCUUUUGUUGGGAAAGAAAAGCAGCAGGUUAAUACCCCGCUGUUCUGACGGUACCCAAUGAAUAAGCACCGGCUAACUUCGUG
rnacentral:rRNA from 1 species